rnacentral:rRNA from 1 species
AUUGAACGCUGGCGGCAGGCCUAACACAUGCAAGUCGGGCGAGGGGCGGCCGGGUGAGUAAUGUAUGGGGAACUGCCAGAUGGAGGGGGAUAAAUACUGGAAACGGUAGAUAAUACCGCAUACAAUCAGAUGGACACAAAUGUGAUUAGGUUGUAGGUGAGGUAACGGCUCAAAUAGGCGACGCUCCAGAGCUGGUCUGAGAGGAGGAACAGCCACACUGGCACUGAGACACGGCCCAGACGCCUACGGGAGGCAGCAGUGGGGAAUAUUGCACAAUGGGUGCAAGCCUGAUGCAGCCAUGCCGCGUGUAUGAAGAAGGCCUUCGGGUUGUAAAGUACUUUCAGGCGGGAGGCGUUACCGACAGAAGAAGCACCGGCUAACGCCGUGCCAGCCGCCGCGGUAAUUC